rnacentral:rRNA from 1 species
AGUGAACGCUGGCGGCAGGCCUAACACAUGCAAGUCGAGCGGCAGCGCGGGGCAACCUGGCGGCGAGCGGCGGACGGGCGAGGAAUACGUCGGAAUCUGCCUUUUUGUGGGGGAUAACGUAGGGAAACUUACGCUAAUACCGCAUACGACCUACGGGUGAAAGUGGGGGACCGCAAGGCCUCACGCAGAAAGAUGAGCCGACGUCCGAUUAGCUAGUUGGUGAGGUAAUGGCUCACCAAGGCGACGAUCGGUAGCUGGUCUGAGAGGAUGAUCAGCCACACUGGGACUGAGACACGGCCCAGACUCCUACGGGAGGCAGCAGUGGGGAAUAUUGGACAAUGGGCGCAAGCCUGAUCCAGCCAUGCCGCGUGUGUGAAGAAGGCCUUCGGGUUGUAAAGCACUUUUGUCCGGAAAGAAAUCCUGAAGAUUAAUACUCUUUGGGGAUGACGGUACCGGAAGAAUAAGCACCGGCUAACUUCGUGCCAGCAGCCGCCGCAG